UUGUCUCUCAUUAAGGAGGCUGCAACACUCUCACUGUCUAACUCCCUCCCACGCAGCUCACAACUUCAUUCUGCCGGAGAACAGGCUGCCAAGAGGCUCCGGGAACCUGCGGGCAAGCUGAGCUGGAGGAAGAAAACAGAAAGGAGGAGGGCCUUUGUAACCAAGAUCUGAAAUGUGCUGGGGCACACACCCCGCCAUUAUCUUAACGUUUGAAGAGCGGGUCGGGGGAGCCUUUGCUGAAACCCUUAGGUGGUCUCUCAAGUUGCCACAUCAAACCUCUGUGCACAAAGGGCAUUUGUCGCCUCCUGUUUCCCUGGCUGGAAGGGAGGAGGCCUCCAGUGUGCAGGAGGUCAGAUGGACGCCUGGGAUCUCAGCUCAGCAACCCAGCCUGGCCGCAUAGCCUCUUUCUGAGGAGCAGCAGAACCCCCGAGCCACAGCGGGCUUCCACCCACACAAAUGUGCCCAGCAGUCUAGCACCUGUCACCUGGGGUCAUCCUGCUCUUCUUGGCCACGUGAGGUGCUGGUCACCUUACCCAACCUGCGGCCUCUACACAGAGAGGCCUUGGGGGAGAGGAAAAGCUUCUCCAGUGAUUGAUGUCAGCAGCUCACCGAGAGCCAAGAACAUCAGAGGUGGGAUGAUGAUGCUUGUGGCUAUGAGACAGGAUUUCAAGGAUCCUGAUGAAACGUCUGCUGGCCUGAAUCUGUCUGAAUGCUGAAAAGGACUUUGUGUUACUCUAACUGAAAGGAAAACAUAAAAUGAUGAUAAUGUA
rnacentral:lncRNA from 1 species